GACGAACGCUGGCGGCGUGCUUAACACAUGCAAGUCGAACGGAAAGGCCUCUUUCGGGGGGUACUCGAGUGGCGAACGGGUGAGUAACACGUGAGUAACCUGCCCUUGACUUUGGGAUAACUUCAGGAAACAGGGGCUAAUACCGGAUAGGAGCUCCUGUUGCAUGGUGGGGGUUGGAAAGUUUCGGCGGUUGGGGAUGGACUCGCGGCUUAUCAGCUUGUUGGUGGGGUAGUGGCUUACCAAGGCUUUGACGGGUAGCCGGCCUGAGAGGGUGACCGGCCACAUUGGGACUGAGAUACGGCCCAGACUCCUACGGGAGGCAGCAGGGGGGAAUAUUGCACAAUGGGUGGAAGCCUGAUGCAGCAACGCCGUGGGCGGGAUGACGGCCUUCGGGUUGUAAACCGCUUUCGCUCAUGACGAAGCUUUGUGUGACGGUAGUGGGUAAAGAAGCACCGGCUAACUACGUG
rnacentral:rRNA from 1 species